rnacentral:rRNA from 1 species
UGGGGAAUAUUGGACAAUGGGCGCAAGCCUGAUCCAGCCAUGCCGCGUGUGUGAAGAAGGCCUUUUGGUUGUAAAGCACUUUAAGCGAGGAGGAGGCUACUUGGAUUAAUACUCUAGGAUAGUGGACGUUACUCGCAGAAUAAGCACCGGCUAACUCUGUGCCAGCAGCCGCGGUAAUACAGAGGGUGCGAGCGUUAAUCGGAUUUACUGGGCGUAAAGCGUGCGUAGGCGGCUUCUUAAGUCGGAUGUGAAAUCCCUGAGCUUAACUUAGGAAUUGCAUUCGAUACUGGGAAGCUAGAGUAUGGGAGAGGAUGGUAGAAUUCCAGGUGUAGCGGUGAAAUGCAUAGAGAUCUGGAGGAAUACCGAUGGCGAAGGCAGCCAUCUGGCCUAAUACUGACGCUGAGGUACGAAAGCAUGGGGAGCAAACAGG